rnacentral:misc_RNA from 1 species
GAUGAAGAACGCAGCGAAAUGCGAUAAGUAAUGUGAAUUGCAGAAUUCCGUGAAUCAUCGAAUCUUUGAACGCACAUUGCGCCCGCCAGUAUUCUGGCGGGCAUGCCUGUCUGAGCGUCAUUUCAACCCUCAUGCCCCUAGGGCGUGGUGUUGGGGAUCGGCCAAAGCCCGCGAGGGACGGCCGGCCCCUAAAUCUAGUGGCGGACCCGUCGUGGCCUCCUCUGCGAAGUAGUGAUAUUCCGCAUCGGAGAGCGAUGAGCCCCUGCCGUUAAACCCCCAACUUUCCAAGGUUGACCUCAGAUCAGGUAGGAAUACCCGCUGAACUUAAGCAUAUCAAUAAGCGGAGGA